rnacentral:rRNA from 1 species
AUUGAACGCUGGCGGCAUGCCUUACACAUGCAAGUCGAACGGCAGCAUGGGUGCUUGCACCUGAUGGCGAGUGGCGAACGGGUGAGUAAUGCAUCGGAACGUACCCGGAAGUGGGGGAUAACGUAGCGAAAGUUACGCUAAUACCGCAUAUUCUGUGAGCAGGAAAGAGGGGGAUCGCAAGACCUCUCGUCUGCGGAGCGGCCGAUGUCGGAUUAGCGAGUCGGCGGGGUAAAGGCCCACCAAGGCAACGAUCCGUAGCGGGUCUGAGAGGAUGAUCCGCCACACUGGGACUGAGACACGGCCCAGACUCCUACGGGAGGCAGCAGUGGGGAAUUUUGGACAAUGGGGGCAACCCUAAUCCAGCUAUGCCGCGUGAGUGAAGAAGGCCUUCGGGUUGUAAAGCUCUUUCGGCUGGGAAGAAAUCGCAUCUCCUAAUACGGGGUGUGGAUGACGGUACCAGCAUAAGAAGCACCGGCUAACUACGUGCCAGCAGCCGCGGUAA